rnacentral:rRNA from 1 species
UGGGGAAUUUUGGACAAUGGGGGAAACCCUGAUCCAGCCAUCCCGCGUGUGCGAUGAAGGCCUUCGGGUUGUAAAGCACUUUUGGCAGGAAAGAAACGUCGCGGGUUAAUACCCCGCGAAACUGACGGUACCUGCAGAAUAAGCACCGGCUAACUACGUGCCAGCAGCCGCGGUAAUACGUAGGGUGCAAGCGUUAAUCGGAAUUACUGGGCGUAAAGCGUGCGCAGGCGGUUCGGAAAGAAAGAUGUGAAAUCCCAGAGCUUAACUUUGGAACUGCAUUUUUAACUACCGGGCUAGAGUGUGUCAGAGGGAGGUGGAAUUCCGCGUGUAGCAGUGAAAUGCGUAGAUAUGCGGAGGAACACCGAUGGCGAAGGCAGCCUCCUGGGAUAACACUGACGCUCAUGCACGAAAGCGUGGGGAGCAAACAGGAUUAGAUACCCUGGUAGUCCACGCCCUAAAACGAUGUCAACUAGCUGUUGGGGGCCUUCGGGCCUUGGUAGCGCAGCUAACGCGUGAAGUUGACCGCCUGGGGAGUACGGUCGCAAGAUUAAAACUCAAAUGAAUUGACGGGGGUCAUAGCUGUUUCCU